rnacentral:rRNA from 1 species
GCUCCUACCGAUUGAACGUGCUGGUGAAGCGUUAGGACUGGAGCGUUGUCUAGGCCUCCUAGACUUCGCUCCGGGAAUUUCGUUGAACCCUCCCGUUUAGAGGAAGGAGAAGUCGUAACAAGGUUUCCGUAGGUGAACCUGCGGAAGGAUCAUUG